UACACUGUAAAAAAUAAUUCAGUGGCUUAGUAAAUUUCACAAAAAUAAAGAGCUAUAUUAACUUAAUAAAAUCUUUUGAAAUCAUUUAAGUGAUAUUUUGAGUGGGUCAGAUUAAAAAUAAUAAUUAAAAAUCCAACAAAUAAUUUCUCUAAAAUUUACAUAUAUUAUUUAAGUUUAUGUAAUGAAAAUAAAUAAGUAUUUAACUAACUAAUUAUAUUUUUAAUAUACCUUCAAUAUUUCUGGUGAAUUCUAAUAGAAAUAUUUGAUAAUUAUUUACUUGUACUGAUCUGUUUUAGAAACUAAAAUUAUUAAGUAUUUCCUACCAAUUUUCCUAAAUAAAGUUCCAGCUUAAUAAAUGAAAGUUUAAAUAAAUUGAGUAAAUUUCGCGGCUAAAGUGAUCACGUGUGCAGCUCCGCAGGAAAAAAAAAAAACUGCUUUCCUCAGCAGCGACGUCGACUAGCCAUACACCUCACAACUCCUGUUUCGUAGCUUAAUCGAAGUCACCUGAAGGACGGCUUUCCUCAGCAACGGCAAGGCCCGCACUCCUCUCAUAUUGUGAAGUUUAACAAGUUUCGCGGCUCAAACAAGAGGCACCUGUCACUGAAGGACUGCUUUUCUCAGCUACGACGUGAACAGCAUCACUCGAAUUUCCUGGUUCAGCUGAUCUACCCAUCUUCGUACAAGCAGAGUUGGCAGAGGAGGUCAUAAAAAUCUACAUCCUUCGGGACAAUGAUGGGGCAGUCAGCGAUGUAAUCUUGGGAAUCACAGCAGAGCCUGCUGCCAUCUUUUGGGAGUCACAUUGGACUUGAGAUAUCCCAAGACCCACAAAUACAGGUCCUUCUCCAAAAAUU